rnacentral:ncRNA from 2 species
UUGAUUGUAUAUACUUGAACUUGUAUAAUCUCAAUAAUAUGGUUUGAGAGUCUCUACCGGAUGCCGUAAAAAUCCUGAUUACAAGAAAAAUGUGAACUCAC